AUUGAACGCUGGCGGCAGGCCUAACACAUGCAAGUCGAGCGAGCGGCGGACGGGUGAGUAAUGUAUGGGGACUGCCCGAUAGAGGGGGAGAACAACUGGGAACGGUAGCGAAUACAGCAUACUAACGGGUAACCCAUAUGGGAUUGGCUAGUAGGUGAGGUAAUGGCUCACCUAGGAGACGAUCCCUAGCUGGUCUGAGAGGAUGAUCAGCCACACUGGGACUGAGACACGGCCCAGACUCCUACGGAGGCAGCAGUGGGGAAUAUUGCACAAUGGGCGCAAGCCUGAUGCAGCCAUGCCGCGUGUAUGAAGAAGGCCCUAGGGUUGUAAAGUACUUUCAGUCGGGAGGCGUUACCGACAGAAGAAGCACCGGCUAACUCCGUGCCAGCCGCCGCGGUAAUAC
rnacentral:rRNA from 1 species